GGAGAGUUACCCAAGCGGUUCAAGGGGGCGCACUCGAAAUGCGUUAGGCCGGGUGACCGGUGCGUGGGUUCGAAUCCCAUGCUCUCCGCGA
rnacentral:tRNA from 1 species